rnacentral:rRNA from 1 species
UACGAAGGGGGCUAGCGUUGCUCGGAAUCAUUGGGCGUAAAGCGCACGUAGGCGGACUGUUAAGUCGGAUGUGAAAUCCCUCAGCUUAACUGAGGAAGUGCACUCGAAACUGGCAGUCUUGAGUAUGGAAGAGGGUCGCGGAAUUCCCGGUGUAGAGGUGAAAUUCGUAGAUAUCGGGAGGAACACCAGUGGCGAAGGCGGCGACCUGGGCCAAUACUGACGCUGAGGUGCGAAAGCGUGGGGAGCAAACAGG